CCGUCAGUUCCACUUGCUGACCUCCAGUCCUCCACCAUGAAUCGGGGAUCCCCAAUCUCGUGCCCCCGGAGCUCCCUCCCGGCGCCGCCGCCUCUUGCAUCGGUGAUCCCCAAUCUCGUGCCUCCAGAGCUCCCUCCCAGCGCCGCUGCCUCUUGCCCUGCGCCCUCCCCUUCUCACCGUCUGAUUCAGACGGGGAAGCACGGCUGCGUGAAGGAGGUCUGGAUCUGACGCCCUGUGAUCUCGCCGUCCCUGCCCGACAAGCAGCGGUGGCCGUCCCCAUUCUCCGCAGCGGCCCGUCUGCCUCCCAGAUCCGGCCGGCGCUGCCUGUCCACCGCGGCCAGACCAAGAAGACCGACCAUGGGGCAUUUGGAGAGGACGGGAAGCAAAAGGGUGGAAGGAGGACCAGUCAGAACAAUACUCCGUAGAUCAGGGCAGAUAUGACAGUCAUCAUAAUGCGCCUCAAGUUAUACUGAGGACUUCUCCAGUAAGUUAUGUUUUGUUUCCACAAGCAAGCUUUAAGUUGAAUCCAGCCAUUCUGUGCAAAACUAUGGGAGAAACAUAGAUUUUCUGAAUUUGGUAAUGGGAUACUUAGCUGCUCCACUAGAUCUUCAGCUUCUCUGCAGAAAAGUAACUUUAAUUCUUCGAAACUUCAAAUGGAGGUAUUUUGUUUGGCUAAAUUUUUUGCUACUCCCUCCGUUCACUUUUAUAAGUCGUUUCAGACAAGUAAAAUUAAGCUGUUUUGCACAAUGUCUGAAAUAUCUACAAAGCCUUAUAAAAGUGAGCAGAGGGAGUAGAUGAAUUUUAUUUUGCUUAAGCUAUUCAUAUAUGUUGUCUUUUGCUCGAUAUUCUAACUAAAUCCACAAGAUAUGUACCUAUGCAGUGACGACUCUUCAUACAAAACUGCAAAGUCCAUGUUGUGUUGAACCUCCAUUGAUGUCGAUGUUACAUCCAUCAUCCAGUUCAACAGUUUCAAGGACUUCAGCAACAAAUUUCUAUGAGAGGAAAAAGAAGAAUAUUGUUAGUUUCUUAGGCAGACGAAGCCACGCAGAAUAAGUUACAGACUCUUCAACUGUAAGCUGUGGGGAAUGUAUGUCGACUUGUUCGCAGUAACCCAAGAUUCUGACAAAUGUUUCCUGCACCUUGGGAUAUCCACCUAUUCUUAUGUCCCC